CCUACGGGUGGCAGCAGUGGGGAAUAUUGCACAAUGGGGGAAACCCUGAUGCAGCGACGCCGCGUGAGUGAAGAAGUACUUCGUUACGUAAAGCUCUAUCAGCAGGGAAGAAAAUGACGGUACCUGAGUAAUAAGCCCCGGCCAACUACGUGCCAGCAGCCGCUGUAAUACGUAGGGGGCAAGCGUUAUCCGGAUUUAAUGGGUGUAAAGGGAGCGGAGACGGUUGGCCAAGUCUGGUGGGAAAAUCCGCGGGUUAAACGCGGGAUUGCUUUGGAGACUGGCGAACUAGAGUGCGGGAGGGGUAAGCGGAAUUCCUGGUGUAGCGGUGAAAUGCGUAGAUAUUAGGAAGAACACCAGUGGCGAAGGCAGCUUACUGGACCGAAACUGACGUUGAGGCUCGAAAGCGUGGGGAGCAAACAGGAUUAGAUACCCCUGUAGUC
rnacentral:rRNA from 1 species